UACGUAGGGGGCAAGCGUUAUCCGGAUUUACUGGGUGUAAAGGGAGCGUAGGCGGCGAUGCAAGUCAGAAGUGAAAGCCCGGGGCUCAACUUCGGGACUGCUUUUGAAACUGUGUUGCUAGAUUGCAGGAGAGGUAAGUGGAAUUCCUAGUGUAGCGGUGAAAUGCGUAGAUAUUAGGAGGAACACCAGUGGCGAAGGCGGCUUACUGGACUGUAAAUGACGCUGAGGCUCGAAAGCGUGGGGAGCAAACAGG
rnacentral:rRNA from 1 species